AUCCUCAUCAUCGUCACUCUCAUCAUCUGAUAGACUGUCAGUGUCAAUAGCUCCAUCCUGAGGUACGACCACAUCAGUUGACACCUUGUUAACGGUUGCUGAUGCCUUUGGCUUCUUUCUUAUGAAUUUCAAAGCUAUUAAUAACACAAUUUCAACUGUUUUACUUAAUUUAUAAAAAUCCUUGCACUAUUAUUUCAUUAAUCGGCAUAGAAUGCAAGUUAAGUUAACCAAAAAAUUGUUUGACAUUUUAAAUUCGGGAGCCAGACUUGACACUCUAAAACAUCUAAGGAAGAUCACUAAUGAAAGACCACUAAGGGAAUUAACCAAAGGGUGUCACUGUAAGAAUUUACACCUGAAAUGCUUAAAUUGAUUGUUUUAUUUUCUCGGAUUUGUUUUAAUCGCAAUUUAGGUUAUCUAUAUUCAAUUUUUCUAUCGCCAUAGCCGUGAUUUUAUCGCAUUGGCGAUCAGACGAUGGGUUAAUUUUGCAGAAUGUCAUAUGGUUCCUUUUGCACAAUUUAAUAUUAAGAAAACAAAUGCAAAAGGUAUCAUAUGCUAAUGUGGGUCCUUUUUGCAUCAACUAUUUAUGUAUGUUGUAUUCUAUAAAGGCACAAUAACUUAAGGUACCAUAUGACAUACCAGUGAAGAAUAAUCCUAUAUACAAAUGUGACAGGGUUGACUUUCUCCCAAUUUGUUUGUUGUUUAUAACCUUUGCCUAUUAUUUUAAAAUAAUUUUUUUUGAGCCAGUCAAAAAAUCUUAAAACAAAACAACUAUCACACUUUGUUAAGUCAUUACCAAGCUUAAGAAUAAAUAGAAGCAUCUUGGUAAUAUAUAAAAAGAUUGUAGGUCACAUGGUACACAAUAUUUGAUGAUGUCAUAAUAAAAUGGAAAUUUCUAAAUAAGCAAACAUAAAUAAAUAAACACACUAUGCCACUACUUCAAAGCGAAACUGUAGAAAAAAUCAAGUCAAUGAUCACAUCUUUGUUGGAACUUAGAUACAACCAUUUAGUGUUAGUUACAGUCAAACAAUAUUCAAACAACCAUACAAAAUGAUCUGAUCUCAUUACGUAGGUCAAAAGUUUGUCACUGUCCAGUGUGUGAACUCUUUGAACCCUCCUCUUCACUACUUAGGUGGGUCACAGCUGUUUGCAUUAAAGAUUCCUCAACUGCUUCAAUACCUUUUUUCAGUACACCCACCUGCUCUUUUAUGGUCAACAAGGCUUUCUUCUGUACUUCUUUAAGUCUUUCAGGUGUUCUGGUGGAAGCUUGCAUUUCCAACAUCGACAAGAGAGACAAAGCGUCAUUUAUGUGGUUUUUCAUAGCCUCUGUGGCAUCUUCCUCUGUAUUGAAGGUUUUUCAUAGCCUCUGUGCCAUCUUCCUCUGUAUUGAAGGUUUUUCAUAGCCUCUGAGGCAUCUUCCUCUGUAUUGAAGGUUUUUCAUAGCCUCAGUGCCAUCUUCCUCUGUAUUGAAGGUUUUUCAUAGCCUCUGUGCCAUCUUCCUCUGUAUUGAAGGUUUUUCAUAGCCUCUGUGCCAUCUUCCUCUGUAUUGAAGAACACGGUGGCUCUGCCACAUUUUUUCUUUGGAUUCAUCUUUAUUUGUUUAACAACUAGUGGCUAAUUUUUUUUAUAAUGUCUUCAUGUGUAGAUGUGCUUGGCAAGCCCUUCAUUUCUAUGCAGUACUUCCAGUUUUCUUCCAGUACUCCAGCUGCUUCAUUGCUGAAAAUCAGUCCAAAUCGAUAUGAAGUUUUGUUUAUUGGGUUACAACACACCCGUAACCAUAACGGUUAAAUGUAGGGAUGGCAACGGUUAAUCGGUUAACCGGUUAUCCGUUUCUUAAGGAGGUUAACCGAUUACAAAAUUAAUAUUCGGUUACUCUUGCAGAAAACGCAUUUUUUUGUUGAACGAAAUUAAUGCUCAAAUCGUAAGUUUUGUUUGUACUUCAUUUCACUGUAUUGGCUAAACCGCUUAUCUGAUCGCAAAUUAUCGGCAAUUACCAUCCCAUGAUGCCCCCCUGUGGAUCGAAAGCGAUGAGAGUUGUAAACCAUCAGGGUGCAGCGGUAUUAUGAGCAGGCACACGAGCACCUACUCUGCAGUGUGUUUGUUUAGCACUUUACAGUCUAUUGUGUUUCAAUUAUUCAAAUAUUGAUAAAUUUAAAUUAUAAACCGACCAAUUACGCUUGUCAAUUAGCAGAUUUGACUGCGAUAUGUCCCUUUUUUUUAUCU